rnacentral:rRNA from 1 species
GAUGAACGCUGGCGGCGUGCCUAAUACAUGCAAGUCGAGCGAACAGACGAGGAGCUUGCUCCUCUGACGUUAGCGGCGGACGGGUGAGUAACACGUGGAUAACCUACCUAUAAGACUGGGAUAACUUCGGGAAACCGGAGCUAAUACCGGAUAAUAUAUUGAACCGCAUGGUUCAAUAGUGAAAGACGGUUUUGCUGUCACUUAUAGAUGGAUCCGCGCCGCAUUAGCUAGUUGGUAAGGUAACGGCUUACCAAGGCGACGAUGCGUAGCCGACCUGAGAGGGUGAUCGGCCACACUGGAACUGAGACACGGUCCAGACUCCUACGGGAGGCAGCAGUAGGGAAUCUUCCGCAAUGGGCGAAAGCCUGACGGAGCAACGCCGCGUGAGUGAUGAAGGUCUUCGGAUCGUAAAACUCUGUUAUAGGGAAGAACAAAUGUGUAAGUAACUAUGCACGUCUUGACGGUACCUAAUCAGAAAGCCACGGCUAACUACGU